ACCAAUGUAGUGUGCAAACUGUUCUGCAGCAAGUGGUAUGUUGUAAUUAACCUACCCAGCCUUAAUCCCAGAAUGUUUAGCUGUUUGUACAUAUAAUUCUCUGUGUUGAUCAAAGUACAAUCAGUGCCUGAAGGAUCAGAUGCUUUAGAAGAAUGUAGGUGAUGAAAGUCAGAAUUUGCUUACUUGUUGCUUUUCAUUUCCUGUCUUAUUUCCAGGCUACGCUGGUGAAGAAAGAUACUCAUGUUUUUACUGUUUCUUCAUCACUGCUCUUUAUUCAUAAAUAAAAAAAAGCCUUUGUUGUGAAACAGGUGUGGUUGCAUGCGUGCUGAAGCUGACGUAAAGCCACAAAAGCAAUAAGAUGAGAUACCUGGUUGUGGCUUCCCCUGACAUUACUGUUGUCCUAAGCCACAGAGCAGCCUUCUAUCUUUUCUCCUGAACUUUCUAUGUAGCUUUUCACCAAGACGCUGUGUGUUGUUAAUUGUAAACAUGUAGUAGCCUUUUGCUGUGUUGAGAUGAAUGUUUUAUUACGGGAAUCCCUUGAAAGGGAAGGCUGGCAAAGAAGGCAGAGCUCAGAUGGGUUUGUUUGCUCGAAGCUAUAUGGUAGUUCUGUUGGAGCAGAGCAACGUACCUGCAAGAUGCUUACAAGGGUGCACGCAAUUGGUUUGACUUUUAUUUCUUUGCUUUUGUGGUAUGUGUCAAGUAUGGUGUAUAGAUAGCUAUUCUGUUCCUCAGGAAAAGUUUUAAAGUAUUGACAAGCUAGCUUUUGCAUAGUGUUUUGUUAGACAAGUGGGUCUGAGGAAGAAGUGUGAAUCUUUGGGAGUUGUUCCAGAAACUGUGUCAAGUGAAACUCCCUGUAGAGAUAACUAUGAAGAGCUGCGUUUUCAUAGCUCAUAAAAUCUUUCCUGCCAUUUCCAUCUGAAACCUGUCCCAUUGUAGGAUUAAAUUUGAAGGGAAAAUAACUGCCUAUAAAAGAUUUUGUGUAUGACAGAGAAGAUUUUAUCCAUCUGCUAGAAAAUCUUAGUGUAAAAAUAAUAACCAGCACUUUGGGUUUGAAUUGGUAGUAGGAGCACAUGUUGCAUUAGAACUAAUCCCUUCCUUUUUAAAGCUAUAAUUCUAAAGUCAAGUGGCAUACAUAUUUUCAGCAGUGGAUUAUUUCAGAAUUUUCCCAUAAAAUUACAGAACUUCACCCAAACUGCACAGAAAAUUCAAUAUACAUAAAAUCCUUUUAACACACUGAAAAAAUCUGCAAAAAAGGUCUCUUUCAUGCUGAAAAGGAAAGACUAUUUGCCUUAGCUUAUGCUCAAGUUUGAAAUUAAUUAGUCUCAGGAUAACAGAACCAUCAGCAAAACGAACUAGAGUUUACACAUUGUUUAUAUAACAGUAUGGGAACUAAUAGUUAUGGGAAUUUAUGAAAAUUUUAGACUGCAGAAUUAAGAUUUUCUGCCAAGUGAUUUAUUUUAUAAAUUCAAAUGAAAGUUCCAAGACUUUACUUAAUUUGUGAAUCAGUUAAAUGGGUAAAAUGAGGCUUUCAAAGUCAUAAGAAGUUUUCUUUCAUAUGCACGUGCGAAAUGCAGUGCCAGCCCUUCAAGCAAGGGACUCUUGAAUUCCCAUUUCAAACACAGGAUGGGCAUAUCAACAUAUCAACACGGCCUGUCAUUCACUGUGCAGCAAUUCAGGUGCAUGAGAUGAGAUACUACAGAAUUCUUAAUAUAAUCAAAUAUGUAGCUAUCUGAAUCAAGUGAAAACAUGAUCAACAAAACGUACAAAUGGAGAAAAGCUUCUUCACUUGCUGUUUGUUAGCUUUUUAAUGGGCCUUUACGUUUAAGUCCAGGUUGUACAUUGUUUUGAGUAGAGAUUCUCACAAUGUCAAAAUCAGUUGUGAUUAGACAAUGCAAGUUUAUAUUGAAAUAUACAUAUUUGAGUUUGUAUGUAUUUUAUUUUCAUAAAACAAAGCAAAAGGUUAUUCUAUCUAAAAGUCUUCCAGUGCAAUGCCCUUAUCACUUGUAAAUAUUUCAGAUUUUAGGAUGUUUUAUCUCUUGAUUUUUUUGUUAAAUAAUGAACAUAAUGUAUUGGUCCUCCUCUAUAAUCAGUGUUUUUUAAACAGCAGGUCGCAUGCAGUUGUAGUCAGUUUAAUACACAUGCGGAAUCUGGUAAAUAUUAAAACUGCUGUUUCACAGUGAUGUCUGUUACGUUCUUUCUCGGAUAUUUCACUUUUGGGUUGUAACACACUUCUCUAAUAAAGCUGCCCAACACAGACUUGGAUGAUUUAAUAGUUAGUCUCUAUAUCAGUUUAUGGCUGCAUUUACAAAGGAGUUGCAAAGGCUCAGUUAUAAAAGAUCUCUGAGAUCCAUUAUAAUGAGAACUCCCAUUUUUCUAAAGCACUUGUUAUUUACAAAUAGAGGACAUUUUUAGGCUCACUGAGCAUUCCAGCAUUUACAUUUGUCAGUGUUUAGUUCUACACUGUUGAAUAUGUAUAUAAUCUGUUGCUGAAAAGAACAGAAACUUGCAGGUCAUAUCUUCUAGCGUUACAGCUAAAACAUUCUAAACCUAUCUUUUAAUACAGCUGUUACAGGAAUUCUCUCAGAUGUUAGAUAAAUCUCAGCUGUUAAAUGCCACAUUAUCACAAAUUGAAAGUCAUUGAAAAUUGAGUAUAUAUGAGGAAAAAGAAGCAGGGGAGAGAAAAUGUGAUUGUGUUUUAAAUGUAAUUUCUUCAUCGUGCUAAGGUCCACUGUUAUGUCACCAAUAGGUAUUUCAGCCUGCUUGCAAUGUAAGAAUGGAAAAAGACAUGCCAGUCACUGGUAGCUGGAGAGGCUUUUAUCUGCUUUAACCAGCCUUUCUCAUUAAGAAAAUUUGAAAUAGAAAACCAAAUCUUUAUUUUAAAUUUCUUCUAGGAAGAUUGUCCCCAUAGCACAUCUCAUUUCUGUUUCAGUGGCAGAGAAGCUGGCACUGGUACAGGCUUUGAGGAUGAGCUAGCCUGAGAAAUCUGGAAACAAAGGGAGAGCAGUGGCUCCUAAUUUCUGCAGUGUUUGAGUAUCUCCCUAGAAAGCUCUAGGAGCACUAUGUACUUUUGCCUCUUCACAAGCCUGUUUGGCCGGAAUGAGGGAGGAAGGACCCAAGAAACACGUCACUAGAAGAUGAAGUUCUCUGUAAAGCAGAUUGAAUAUUGUUGCAAGGAACAAAACGUAAUUCUUAUUUGAGCACACUACAUGUGUAUACCUGUACGUACAUUUAAGAGCAAGAGUUCUUGCUUCCCAUCCAGCGAUCCCUUCAUCAGCCGUGUGCAUCACGACUGUCACGUCUGUUGGCACAUAGCUGUGUAAAUAUUAAUAAUGAGUUCUCCAAUCAGCUGAGCAAAAGGAAACCUUUUUUUGAAGGGAUUUACCCCUUCAGCAAAUUGCAUAUCUGUCAAAUAUCAGAUGAGGGGAAAGCUGUCCAUCUUGGGCCCAAAUGAGUUUGGCUAUUUAAUUUCUGUGCUGAUAGAGCUUCCAUAGGUAAACUGGAAAGCGUAUGGUCGUACCAACUCUGGAGAUAAAACCAGUGUUUCCACAUCUGAGUAAAAUCUGUUCUUUACCUAGUGAUCUGCUCACAAAGAGGAGCAGGAGUGCCAGUGCUUAUGGCAGAAGUUUGGCUAGACGAAUCAGAACCUGUGCCUGAAAAUAACCUCCUUUAUUGCAAAUGCAUGUGGUGAGGCAUCUUUUCUGGACCCCUAAGUGGCAGUGAACUAUAUUCUGACAGGCCCAGGAUAUGAGCUGGCAACUUCCCUCUUGUAAAUAUUCCCUUGAGCAGAGAUCAACAAGUUUGCCAGUAUAUGUCUUUUCCACAGGUCCUUUGGACACAACUGUGUAUAAAAAGAAGUGAAGGACAAUGAAAUUGCUUGUCCAGUUU